AUGACGAAGUUAAAUAGCCGCAGUAUUUUGACUGUGCAAAGGUAGCAUAAUCAUUAGUUUUUUAAUUGAAAGCUGGAAUGAAUGGUCGGAUGAGAAAGAAUCUGUCUCACUUUAAUUUAUUUGAAUUUUAUUUUUAAGUUAAAAAGCUUAAAUUUUAUAGAAAGACGAGAAGACCCUAUAGAGUUUAAUAAGUUAACAUAUAACUGUUUAAGGGUUUUAAUUUAAUUAUUUGUUAAUUUGUUUUGUUGGGGUGACAUUAGAAUUUAAUAAACUUCUUAUUGUUUUUACAUUGAUCUAUGAACCUAUGAUCCUAAUUUUUGGACUACAAGAUAAAAUUACCUUAGGGAUAACAGCGUAAUCUUUUUGGAGAGUUCUUAUCGAUAAAAGGGAUUGCGACCUCGAUGUUGGAUUAAAGUUAAGUUUCGGUGU
rnacentral:rRNA from 1 species